CAGGGAGUAGUUUAGCUAAGAAUCCUGGCUUUGGGAGCCAGGGGCAGGGGUUAGAGUCCCUUCUCUCUGA
rnacentral:tRNA from 1 species